UACCUGGUUGAUCCUGCCAGUAGUCAUAUGCUUGUAUAGAAGAUUAAGCCAUGCAUGUGUAAGUAUGAACAAAUUCAGACUGUGAAACUGCGAUGGCUCAUUAAAUCAGUUAUACUUUGUUUGAUGGUAUCUACUACUCGGAUAACCGUACUAAUUCUAGAGCUAAUAGGUGCAACAAACCCCGACUUCUGGAAGGGAUGCAUUUAUUAGAUAAAAGGUCGAUGCGGGCUCUGCCAGUUGCUACGAUGAUUCAUGAUAACUCGACGGAUCGCACGACCAUCGUGCUGGCGACGCAUCAUUCAAAUUUCUGCCCUAUGAACUUUUGAUGAUAGGACAGUGGCCUACCAUGGUGGUGACGGUUGACAGAGAAUUAGGGUUCGAUUCCGGAGGGGGAGCCUGCGAAACGGCUACCACAUCCAAGGAAAGCAGCAGG
rnacentral:ncRNA from 1 species